rnacentral:rRNA from 1 species
CUCGUAGGCGGACUGGAAAGUUGGAGGUGAAAUCCCAGGGCUCAACCUUGGAACUGCCUUCAAAACUCCCAGUCUAGAGUUCGAGAGAGGUGAGUGGAAUUCCGAGUGUAGAGGUGAAAUUCGUAGAUAUUCGGAGGAACACCAGUGGCGAAGGCGGCUCACUGGCUCGAUACUGACGCUGAGGUGCGAAAGCGUGGGGAGCAAACA